rnacentral:rRNA from 1 species
GACGAACGCUGGCGGCGUGCUUAACACAUGCAAGUCGAGCGGUAAGGCCCUUUCGGGGGUACGACGAGCGGCGAACGGGUGAGUAACACGUGGGUGACCUGCCCUCAGCUCUGGGAUAAGCCUGGGAAACCGGGGUCUAAUACCGGAUAUGACUCCAUGACGCAUGUUGUGGGGUGGGAAAGCCUUGUGCGGCUGAGGAUGGGCCCGCGGCCUAUCAGCUUGUUGGUGGGGGUGAUGGCCUACCAAGGCGACGACGGGUA